GAAAUGCGAUACGUAAUGUGAAUUGCAAAUUCAGUGAAUCAUCGAGUCUUUGAACGCACAUUGCGCCCCCUGGUAUUCCGGGGGGCAUGCCUGUCCGAGCGUCAUUUCUGCCCUCAAGCACGGCUUGUGUGUUGGGCCCCGUCCUCCGAUCCCGGGGGACGGGCCCGAAAGGCAGCGGCGGCACCGCGUCCGGUCCUCGAGCGUAUGGGGCUUUGUAACCCGCUCUGUAGGCCCGGCCGGCGCUUGCCGAUCAACCCAAAUUUUUAUCCAGGUUGACCUCGGAUCAGGUAGGGAUACCCGCUGAACUUAAGC
rnacentral:misc_RNA from 1 species